UGGGGAAUUUUGGACAAUGGGCGAAAGCCUGAUCCAGCAAUGCCGCGUGUGUGAAGAAGGCCCUUCGGGUUGUAAAGCACUUUUGUCCGGAAAGAAAUCCUUGGCUCUAAUACAGUCGGGGGGAUGACGGUACCGGAAGAAUAAGCACCGGCUAACUACGUGCCAGCAGCCGCGGUAAUACGUAGGGUGCAAGCGUUAAUCGGAAUUACUGGGCGUAAAGCGUGCGCAGGCGGCUUGCUAAGACCGAUGUGAAAUCCCCGGGGCUAACCUGGGAACUGCAUUGGUGACUGGCAGGCUAGAGUAUGGCAGAGGGGGGUUAGAAUUCCACGUGUAGCAGUGAAAUGCGUAGAGAUGUGGAGGAAUACCGAUGGCGAAGGAGCCCCCCUGGGGCCAAUACUGACGCUCAUGCACGAAAGCGUGGGGAGCAAACAGGAUUAGAUACCCUGGUAGUCCACGCCCUAAACGAUGUCAACUAGUUGUUGGGGGAUUCAUUUUCCUUAGUAACGUAGCUAACGCGUGAAGUUGACCGCCUGGGGGAGUACGGUCGCAAGAUUAAAACUCAAA
rnacentral:rRNA from 1 species